AAAAAACAUGUAUAUUUAUAGUUACCUUUGUAUUAUCUACUGUUUAAAAAAAAAUUCUGACCUUCAACAAACCUGGUUUCUAUUUCCUGUCUGAUGCUGAUGUCACUUCCUGUCCCUGUAGUCAUUUUAUUUUGGCGGUAUUUUCAACCUGAGGUGUGUCAGUCACUUCCUGCUGCUCCACUUCCUGUUCCUCUGUGUUCCCACUGUGCCUCCUCCCCCUGGCCACGCCCCCUGAGGUUCCCUCCUCAGUGAUUAACCUGACCUUUCACACCUGUGUCUCGUUACCUCCUCGUCCUGCUGGUCUUGGAUGAACAGCAGUACUGACCUGUGGUCUGUUGUUUUGGUCCUUCAGUCUGUUCUCUGGACUUUUUGACUCUUCCACCUUCUGCCUCUUGGUAACAUUAUGGAUUUUAUUCUACAGCACCACCUGCAGGAAAGAAGGUGUCCAUGCUUGUAAAAGUCACUUCUAUCAUGGACUCCCCCUGGAGGUCAGAUCGAUACUGUGCUGUGCGAGCCUAUGAUCGACAUGUGUGAACUCUACUGAGAUCACAGCCGGCCCUACUUUCUGGACAAACAUCACAUCAGUUCUCAUUACACCUGAAUAUCCCAGCGUAUCGAUUUACAAAACCAAAACAAGAAGAAUGCACCGUUCCAACCAGAGCAGGAAACCUGCUGACCGUGGUCAGAGUGAGAGAGGACUGGACUUCCUCACACCUGAUAAAAUCCACAGCCUGUAAUCAUCGCUACAGCAGACGCCACGGGCCGUCAUUAAAUCCCAGAGAUCCCAGUUAUCCACUCACACGCGGUGAUGUCAUCGCACCCGUAGGCAGACUCACUGUAGCAUGAUGUCAUCCGCUCGAUGCUAAUCAUACUCCACGCUUGUGUCUGGGAGACUUGAGUAGAAUUAGAGACAACAGACGGUUAUGAUGAUGUCAUCCCUCUCAGUUGGCAGCUGUCCGACUGUGGCACGGCACAUGUGACAGAUGAAGUGAUGAAGCUGACGGAGACCAAGUUAGAGCGGCUGGAGGAAGGAAGUGAAUUUAAACUGAGACUUAUCACAGUGGUGGUCCUGUGGCGCCCUGGGUUUGAGUGCUGCCCUCGUCCCAGUCCCUGUUCUUUACUUUUCUCAUUAAAAUAAAAUCUGACAAUGUUCUCCGAUACCAACAGAAAAA